rnacentral:rRNA from 1 species
AUUGAACGCUGGCGGCAUGCCUUACACAUGCAAGUCGAACGGCAGCGGACCUUCGGGUGCCGGCGAGUGGCGAACGGGUGAGUAAUAUAUCGGAACGUACCUUUCAGUGGGGGAUAACGUAGCGAAAGUUACGCUAAUACCGCAUAUUCUGUGAGCAGGAAAGCAGGGGAUCGCAAGACCUUGCGCUGAUUGAGCGGCCGAUAUCAGAUUAGCUAGUUGGUGAGGUAAAGGCUCACCAAGGCGACGAUCUGUAGCGGGUCUGAGAGGAUGAUCCGCCACACUGGAACUGAGACACGGUCCAGACUCCUACGGGAGGCAGCAGUGGGGAAUUUUGGACAAUGGGCGGCAAGCCUGAUCCAGCCGUGCCGCGUGAGUGAAGAAGGCCUCGGUUGGUAAGUACGUCUUUCGGUCCGGGU